UACGGAGGGGGCUAGCGUUGUUCGGAAUUACUGGGCGUAAAGCGCCCGUAGGCGGCUUUGUAAGUUAGAGGUGAAAGCCCGGGGCUCAACCCCGGAACUGCCUUUAAGACUGCAUCGCUUGAAUCCAGGAGAGGUGAGUGGAAUUCCGAGUGUAGAGGUGAAAUUCGUAGAUAUUCGGAAGAACACCAGUGGCGAAGGCGGCUCACUGGCCUGGUAUUGACGCUGAGGCGCGAAAGCCAGGGGAGCAAACGGG
rnacentral:rRNA from 1 species